rnacentral:rRNA from 1 species
UGGGGAAUAUUGCACAAUGGGCGAAAGCCUGAUGCAGCGACGCCGCGUGCGGGAUGAAGGCCUUCGGGUUGUAAACCGCUUUUGAUUGGGAGCAAGCGAGAGUGAGUGUACCUUUCGAAUAAGCACCGGCUAACUACGUGCCAGCAGCCGCGGUAAUACGUAGGGUGCAAGCGUUAUCCGGAAUUAUUGGGCGUAAAGAGCUCGUAGGCGGUUUGUCGCGUCUGGUGUGAAAGCCCAUCGCUUAACGGUGGAUCUGCGCCGGGUACGGGCAGGCUAGAGUGCGACAGGGGAGACCGGAAUUCCCGGUGUAACGGUGGAAUGUGUAGAUAUCGGGAAGAACACCAAUGGCGAAGGCAGGUCUCUGGGUCGUCACUGACGCUGAGGAGCGAAAGCGUGGGGAGCGAACAGGAUUAGAUACCCUGGUAGUCCACGCCGUAAACGGUGGAUGCUGGAUGUGGGGCCCAUUCCA